AGAGUUUGAUCCUGGCUCAGGACGAACGCUGGCGGCGUGCUUAACACAUGCAAGUCGAACGGGCCAUCCUCUUCGGGGGGUGGUUAGUGGCGAACGGGUGAGUAACACGUGGGCGACCUGCCUUCCGCUCUGGGAUAAGCGUGGGAAACUGCGUCUAAUACCGGAUAUGACCUCCUCCUGCAUGGGGGGUGGUGGAAAGUUUUUCGGCGGAAGAUGGGCCCGCGGCCUAUCAGCUUGUUGGUGGGGUGAUGGCCUACCAAGGCGACGACGGGUAGCCGGCCUGAGAGGGCGACCGGCCACACUGGGACUGAGAUACGGCCCAGACUCCUACGGGAGGCAGCAGUGGGGAAUAUUGCACAAUGGGCGCAAGCCUGAUGCAGCGACGCCGCGUGAGGGAUGACGGCCUUCGGGUUGUAAACCUCUUUCACCCAUGACGAAGC
rnacentral:rRNA from 1 species